AGUGAACGCUGGCGGUAGGCCUAACACAUGCAAGUCAAACGGCAGCACAGUAAGAGCUUGCUCUUACGGGUGGCGAGUGGCGGACGGGUGAGGAAUACAUCGGAAUCUACUUUUUCGUGGGGGAUAACGUAGGGAAACUUACGCUAAUACCGCAUACGACCUACGGGUGAAAGCAGGGGAUCUUCGGACCUUGCGCGAUUGAAUGAGCCGAUGUCGGAUUAGCUAGUUGGCGGGGUAAAGGCCCACCAAGGCGACGAUCCGUAGCUGGUCUGAGAGGAUGAUCAGCCACACUGGAACUGAGACACGGUCCAGACUCCUACGGGAGGCAGCAGUGGGGAAUAUUGGACAAUGGGCGCAAGCCUGAUCCAGCCAUCCCGCGUGGGUGAAGAAGGCCUUCGGGUUGUAAAGCCCUUUUGUUGGGAAAGAAAAGCAGCAGGUUAAUACCCCGCUGUUCUGACGGUACCCAAAGAAUAAGCACCGGCUAACUUCGUG
rnacentral:rRNA from 1 species